GGAUCAUGACCUGAGCUGAAGGCAGUCGCUUAACCGACUGAACCACCCAGGCGCCUGCCUACACAUUUUUAACCUGUAUUUCUUAUUUCCUUAGGAUAGAGUCCCAAAAGUGAAAUUACUCUGUCAAAGAGUAUAAAGCUCUUUAAACUUCUUGAAACACGGGCCAAAUGUUUUGUAGAAAAGUUUUCAUCGAUUUAUACUGAAAGUCACUAACUCAAUGAGCUUUUUAGCUGCCUCUUCAGAGAAGAGGAGAAAGCCCUGCAAGCUUCCAGGCCUCCCCGAAGCCUCGCGGCCGCUGCAGUAGAAAGUAAGAGGACACAGAGGUUCCGUCUGUCAUUGUGCCUCAGCCAUCCCUCCGCCGGGAAGGCGCCCGUCCUGUUUCCUGAUUGAGUUCUUCCUUUCUUAAUGGCCCAAGGAUGGAGGAUGUUGGUGGUAAAGGCAGUGAGGGUGGAGGUAGAUCCUUACGUUUGAGCAAAGAAGACUUUGUCAACAAGAAUCCCACACUCGGAGAUCCUUCACGGAGACAUCCGUCUAUUCCAACCAAAGUGAGCCUCCAGAGACGGGCCCCCUAGGAGCGUCUCUGCGGCUCCGGGGAGGAGACGUUUCCUAAUCUCAGGCCGGGGUUAAAGUUCUGGUCCUGGUGAGAUGCUGGAAGCUGCGGCCGGAGCCGCAACCCGUCCCGGAGGUGUUCUGUCGCCUGUCACCGUCCCCACCACUACCGCCGCCGCCGCCGCCGCCGCCUUGCCGGGGCCAUGUUCGCUCCGGGCUUGCCCUUCUUGGCGCUCUUGGUGGCCUCGGUCGAGAGCCAUCUGGGGGUUCUGGGGCCCAAGAACGUCUCGCAGAAAGACGCCGAGUUUGAGCGCACCUACGUGGAUGAGGUCAACAGCGAGCUGGUCAACAUCUACACCUUCAACCACACUGUGACCCGAAACCGGACAGAAGGCGUGCGUGUGUCUGUGAAUGUCCUGAACAAGCAGAAGGGGGCUCCUUUGCUGUUUGUGGUCCGCCAGAAGGAGGCUGUGGUGUCCUUCCAGGUGCCCCUAAUCCUGCGAGGGCUGUAUCAGCGGAAGUACCUCUACCAAAAGGUGGAGCGAACGCUGUGCCAGCCUCCCACCAAGAACGAGUCCGAGGUCCAGUUCUUCUACGUGGAUGUGUCCACCCUGUCACUGGUCAACACCACCUACCAGCUCCGGGUCAGCCGGAUGGACGACUUCGUGCUCAGGACUGGGGAGCAGUUUAGCUUCAAUACCACAGCAGCCCAGCCCCAGUACUUCAAGUAUGAGUUCCCGGAGGGAGUGGACUCGGUGAUUGUCAAGGUGACCUCCAACAAGGCCUUCCCCUGCUCAGUCAUCUCCAUCCAGGAUGUCCUGUGCCCUGUAUAUGAUCUAGACAACAACGUAGCCUUCAUCGGCAUGUACCAGACUAUGACCAAGAAGGCCGCCAUCACUGUGCAGCGCAAAGACUUCCCCAGCAAUAGCUUUUACGUGGUGGUGGUGGUGAAGACUGAAGACCAGGCCUGUGGGGGCUCCUUGCCUUUCUACCCCUUUGUAGAAGAUGAACCGGUUGAUCAAGGGCACCGCCAGAAAACCCUGUCCGUGGUGGUAUCUCGAGCAGUCACGUCUGAGGCCUAUGUUGGUGGUAUGCUCUUUUGCCUGGGCAUAUUUCUCUCCUUCUAUCUGCUGACUAUCCUCCUGGCCUGUUGGGAGAAUUGGAGGCAGAGGAAGAAGACGCUUCUGGUGGCCAUGGACCGAGCCUGCCCCGAAAGCGGUCACCCUCGGGUGCUCGCCGACUCCUUCCCUGGCAGCUCCCCGUAUGAGGGCUACAACUACGGCUCUUUUGAGAACAGCUCCGGGUCCACGGACGGCCUGGUCGACAGCUCGGGCACUGGAGACCUGUCCUACGGUUACCAGGGGCACGACCAGUUCAAGCGGCGCCUCCCCUUUGGCCAGAUGCGGCAGCUGUGCAUUGCCAUGGAUCGCUCCCUAGACCCUGUGGGCACUCGGCCUCGCCUGGACUCCAUGAGCUCUGUGGAGGAGGAUGACUACGACACAUUGACUGACAUCGAUUCGGACAAGAAUGUCAUUCGCACCAAGCAAUACCUCUACGUGGCCGACCUGGCACGCAAGGACAAACGCAUCCUUCGGAAAAAGUACCAGAUCUACUUCUGGAACAUCGCCACCAUCGCUGUCUUCUAUGCACUUCCUGUGGUGCAGCUGGUGAUCACGUACCAGACGGUGGUGAAUGUCACCGGGAAUCAGGACAUCUGCUACUACAACUUCCUCUGUGCCCACCCCCUGGGCAACCUCAGCGCCUUCAACAACAUCCUGAGCAACCUGGGGUACAUCCUGCUGGGGCUCCUCUUCCUGCUCAUCAUCCUGCAGCGGGAGAUCAACCACAACCGGGCCCUGCUGCGCAAUGACCUCCAUGCCCUGGAAUGUGGGAUCCCAAAACACUUCGGCCUGUUCUAUGCUAUGGGCACAGCGCUGAUGAUGGAGGGGCUGCUCAGUGCCUGCUAUCAUGUCUGCCCCAACUACACCAACUUCCAGUUUGACACGUCAUUCAUGUACAUGAUUGCCGGGCUGUGCAUGCUGAAGCUCUACCAGAAGCGACACCCAGACAUCAACGCGAGCGCCUACAGCGCCUACGCCUGCCUGGCCGUCGUCAUCUUCUUCUCCGUGCUGGGCGUGGUGUUCGGCAAAGGGAACACAGCGUUCUGGAUCGUCUUCUCGGUCAUCCACAUCAUCGCCACCCUGCUCCUCAGCACCCAGCUCUAUUACAUGGGCCGCUGGAAGCUGGACUCCGGGAUCUGCCGCCGCAUCCUCCACGUGCUCUACACAGACUGCAUCCGGCAGUGCAGCGGGCCCCUCUAUGUGUCCCCGUGUCUCUGCUUCCCUCCAGGACCGCAUGGUGCUGCUGGUUAUGGGCAACAUUAUCAACUGGUCACUAGCUGCUUAUGGGCUCAUCAUGCGCCCCAAUGAUUUCGCCUCCUACUUGUUGGCCAUUGGCAUCUGCAACCUGCUUCUGUACUUCGCCUUCUACAUUAUUAUGAAGCUACGCAGUGGGGAACGGAUCAAGCUCAUCCCCCUGCUCUGCAUUGUCUGCACCUCCGUGGUGUGGGGCUUUGCACUCUUCUUCUUCUUCCAGGGACUCAGCACCUGGCAGAAAACGCCUGCGGAGUCACGGGAGCACAACCGCGACUGCAUCCUCCUGGACUUCUUUGACGACCACGACAUCUGGCACUUCCUGUCCUCCAUUGCCAUGUUUGGGUCAUUCCUGGUGUUGCUGACGCUGGACGACGACCUGGACACCGUGCAGCGGGACAAGAUCUACGUCUUCUAGCAGGAGCCAGGCCCCUUGCUUUCCUCACAGGGGCCCCCGAGCUCCUCUGCCUCACUGCCCAGAGCCUCCGUAGCUCUGGGGGUGUGAGUCCCCGCCCUGCGGCCCAGUGUGGGUGGUGGCGGGACAGCGAGGUCUAGCCCACGCUUGGCCUGGGACAGUCGUGGCGGGGGCCGUGAGCCCUGCAUCUGCCCUCUGCCGGGGAGGAGGCCUGCUCCCCUAAAGCCCCAGAUGUUGGCCACUGGCUUCUGCUUCUCAGUGUUGAGGGCCUCUCACGGGCCCUGUCCAUUGGCUCUCCCAUCAGUCCCUUUGCAGGAGGAAGGAGGGAAGUGGUGUUGCCCUGCCCAUCUCAUCUCUUCUGCCCGUCCUUCCCUUCUCCAGGAGCCUGUGACCCCAAGCCCUUCUUCCCGAGCUCCAAUCCAGGGCCUGGUUGGGCCUGAUUCUCUGUCCUGCGCCAGGGUCCCACCGCCCUUUGGGCUGUCCCUGACUGCCAUCACUGCCCAUUCAAGUCAGGAUGAAUGGGGGUGAAGGAUUUUGGAGGCCAGCCAGCUGGUGCCAGGCUUUUGGUGCUAAGGCCUAAGAGGGGCUGCAGGCAGUGCAGCCUCCCCCCUCUGACCUGUGCUUGGGACCGGCUCUGUAGUAGUAAGAGUCAGUCCAUGUGGGAGAGUCGCCUUGAUUUGAGGGGCUGAAUUCAGAGGUCACCUUCCUAUCCCGUCAGCCCCCAGACUGAUGUUGGCACCAGGAUUGGAGGGAGAGACAAAUUCCCCCCUUCCCUUCCUUUUUCUUUCCAGCCCUCCGUCCUGCCAAGCCCCAGUUGGGGGCCUUCCAGUGCCAUUGACACUGCCUAAGAAUGUCCAGGGGCAAAGGAGGGGUACAUGAGGCACCCAGCUUCUCCUGCCUCCUCACAGCCGUGGGAGCCCCAGUGCCUAUCUUAGAAGGAGGCUCAGGAAGGGACACGAUGCUCCCCUCAGUGUCCCUGGUCCAGCCUCACUCUAGGACCCAGGGCUGGCUUCUGUGUUUCCGUCCUGUCUUCGGCCAAGUUUUGUGUUAGUCACACACACGUAUGUGUAGGAAACUUUGGAGUUUACACUGAGUUGCCCCAGCUCUGGGCCCCUAGCUGCUCUGGUCCUUCGAUCCCCGUCACCCUACCUGGUCCAUUCCAGAUGCCAAGACUGGGGGAGGCCAGGUUGGGCCUCUGCCUUGGGGAUGGGAGUGUGUUUUAUUCUGCCCAACUUGUUUUUAUAGCUCUCCCUGGAGCUGGGGAGAGGAGGUGGAUCUGGAUCUCUUUUCAGAACUCCAUUUAAUGUCUGUUUCCAGGCUGUGGUUGCAUUUCUGUUUUCUAUGAAUGAGUCUGCAUUCAAUUAAAGAAACAGCCAGA